GAUGAAGAACGCAGCGAAAAGCGAUAAGUAAUGUGAAUUGCAGAAUUCAGUGAAUCAUCGAAUCUUUGAACGCACCUUGCGCCUUUUGGUAUUCCGAAAGGCACACCUGUUUGAGCGUCAUGAAUACCUCAAUCUCCAUCUUUUCUUCGGAUUGAUGGGUGACUUGGAUGUUGAGCCCUGCUGGUAUGCUAUAUCAGCUGGCUUUAAACUUAUUAGCCGGCUCUGUACUGGAUCGGUUUGACUCGACGUGAUAAUAUUAUCGUUGAGGAUGCAUGUCUCAUGCAGCCGGAAAGUAUCAAAGCAGCUUCUAGCUUGCCUUUAGUGCACUUUUACAUUUUAGACCUCAGAUCAGGUGGGACUACCCGCUGAACUUAAGCAUAUCAAUAAGCGGAGGA
rnacentral:misc_RNA from 1 species